UACGAAGGGAGCUAGCGUUGUUCGGAAUCACUGGGCGUAAAGCGCACGUAGGCGGAUUUGCCAGUCAGGGGUGAAAUCCCGGGGCUCAACCUCGGAACUGCCUUUGAUACAGCAAGUCUUGAGUUCGAGAGAGGUGGGUGGAAUUCCUAGUGUAGAGGUGAAAUUCGUAGAUAUUAGGAAGAACACCGGUGGCGAAGGCGGCCCACUGGCCCGACACUGACGCUGAGGUGCGAAAGCGUGGGGAGCAAACAGG
rnacentral:rRNA from 1 species